GUAUUUCUUUCCUGUAUUUCAAAUACUUCGUACAGUGCCCAAUAAAUUAUUGGGGGUUCUUUUAAUGGUUUCAGUACCUGCGGGAUUAUUAACAGUACCUUUUUUAGAGAAUGUUAAUAAAUUCCAAAAUCCAUUUCGCCGUCCAGUAGCGACGACUGUCUUUUUGAUUGGUACCGCAGUCGCCCUUUGGUUGGGCAUUGGUGCAACAUUACCUAUUGAUAAAUCCCUAACUUUAGGUCUUUUUUAAAUUUUUUAAUUGAUUCAAUUGUGAACUAACACGACAUGUGUAUCUAGGGAAUAGUUUCUUCAAAGCGAAUUCUCCCUAGAUACAUCUAUUCAAUUUCAUUAUUAAUUUCUUUCUAAUAUCUAAUAUAUGAUAUAUUAAUUGUGCUAAAUUGUGCUUUUUCAAUCUAUUUUCACUAAGUAAGUCCAAUAGAUUUAAAACUUAUUUUUUGCUAAAUCAAUUACGAAAUAUUUUUCUAAAAUGUCCAAUAUCUGUUUUAUAUCUUCGCUACGAAAAUGUUCAAUUUUCAUAAGAUCUUCUUGGCUGUUAUUCAAAAGGUCCAAUAAUGUAUAUAUAUUGGACAUUUUGAGGCAAUUAUAGAUCCUGGAAGACAAUUCUGAUUGGUCAAUAAAAAUCGAUUUCAAUGCUAUUUUUUUUUUGUUUUUUAUGAGUUUAGCCAAUUUAUCAUGAAAGGUAAAAGGGGAUAAAGGAACCGUGUGUUGAUUGUCCUGUAAAUAUAAGUUGUCUUCCUCCAUAUGUAAAAAGGGAAUAAAUAAAUCAAUUAAAUUUCGGGAUGCGUCAUGAAGUGCUUCUUUCGGAGUUAAACUUCCGUUUGUCCAUAUUUCGAUAAAAAGUAUCUCUUGUUUUUCAUUCCCAUUCCCAUAAGAAUGAAUACUAUGAUUCGCGUUUCGAACAGGCAUGAAUACAGCAUCUAUAGGAUAACUUCCAUCUUGAAAGUUAUGUGGCGUUUUUAUAAGAUAUCCACGAUUUCUCUCUAUUUGUAAUCCAAUACAAAAAUCAAUUGGUUCCGUUAAACUAGCUAUAUGUUGUGUAUUAUCAACGAUUUCCACAUAAGGUGGCAAGAUGAUAUCUUGAGCAGUUACAUAUCCAGGACCCUUGACACAAAUAGACGCCUCAGAAGUUCCAUAUAAAUUACUUCUCAAUACAAUCUCUUUCAAAUUCAUUAAAAUUUCAUGUACCGAUUCUUGAAUGCCCGUUAUGGUAGAAUAUUCAUGUGGUACUUUCUCAGAUUUUACACGUGUGAUACAUGUUCCUUCUAUUUCCCCAAGUAAAGCUCUUCGCAUCGCAAUGCCUAUUGUGUCGGCUUGGCCUUUCAUAAGUGGAGACAGAAUAAAGCGUCCAUAAUAAAGGCGUUUACUGUCUGUUCUUGAUUCAACACACUUCCACUGUAGUGUCCGAGUAGAUACUGUUACUUUCUCUCGAACCAUAGUACUAUUAUUUGAUUAGAUCAUCGAAUCUUUUAUUUCUCUUGAGAUUUCUUCAAUGUUCAGUUCUACACACGUCUUUUUUUCGGAGGUCUACAGCCAUUAUGUGGCAUCGGAGUUACAUCCCGUACGAAAGUUAAUAGUAUACCACUGCGACGAAUAGCUCGUAAUGCUGCAUCUCUUCCGAGACCGGGACCUUUUAUCAUGACUUCUGCUCGUUGCAUACCUUGAUCCACUACUGUACGGAUAGCGUUUGCUGCUGCGGUUUGAGCAGCAAACGGUGUUCCUCUUCUCGUACCUUUGAAUCCAGAAGUACCAGCUGAGGACCAAGAAACUACUCGACCCCGUACAUCUGUAACAGUGACAAUGGUAUUAUUGAAACUUGCUUGAACAUGAAUAACUCCCUUUGGUAUUCUACGUGCACCCUUACGUGAACUAAUACGUCCAUUCCGACGCGAACUAAUUUUCGGUAUAGCUUUUGCCAUAUUUUAUCAUCUCGUAAAUAUGAGUCAGAGAUAUAUGGAUAUAUCCAUUUCAUGUCAAAACAGAUUCUUUAUUUGUACAUCGGCUCUUCUGGCAAGUCUGAUUAGCCCUGUCUUUGUUUAUGUCUCGGGUUGGAACAAAUUACUAUAAUGCGCCCCCUCCUACGGAUUAGUCGACAUUUUUCACAAAUUUUACGAACGGAAGCUCUUAUUUUCAUAUUUAUCAUUCCUUACCUUAAUUCUGAAUCUAUUUCUUGGAAGAAAAUAAGUUUCUUGAAAUUUUUCAUCUCGAAUUGUAUUCCCACGAAAGGAAUGGUGAAGUUGAAAACCUAAUCCUUCAAAUCUUUGUUGUGGAGUCGAUAAAUUAUAUGUCCUUUGGUUGAAUCAUAAGGACUUACUUCAAUUUUGACUCUAUCUCCUGGCAGUAUCUGUAUAAAACAAAGUUCCUUUGAGGUAUCAACUAAUGCGAAAGAUAUUAGAUAACUCUCCCCCCCUUUUUCGCAAAUAGGAAGUUUCGAAUUCAAUUUGCAUAUUAUAAAGGAUUACCAGAUAUAACACAAAAUUUCUCCACCUAUUCCUUCUAGUCGAGCCUCUCGGUCUGUCAUUAUACCUCGAGAAGUAGAAAGAAUUACAAUCCCCAUUCCACCUAAAAUUCGCGGAAUUCGUUGAUAAUUAGAAUAGAUUCGUAGACCAGGUCGACUGAUUCGUUUUAAAUUUAAAAUAUUUCUAUAGGGUCUUUUCCUAUUCCUUCUAUGUCGCAGGGUUAAAACCAAAAAGUAUUUGUUGUUUUCUCGAUGUUUUCUCACGUUUUCGAUAAAACCCUCUCGUAAAAGUAUUUGAACAAUAUUUUCGGUAAUAUUAGUAGAUGCUAUUCGAACCACCCUUUUUCGAUCCAUAUCAGCAUUUCGUAUAGAAGUUAUUAUCUCAGCAAUAGUGUCCCUGCCCAUGAUGAACUAAAAUUAUUGGGGUCUCCAAAUUUGAUAUAAUCAACGUGUUUUUUACUUAUUUAUUUUUGAAUAUGAUAUGAAUUAUUAAAGAUAUAUGCGUGAGACACAAUCUACUAAUUAAUCUAUUUCUUUCAAAUACCCCACUCGAAACAGAUCACAAUUUCAUUUUAUAAUACCUCGGGAGCUAAUGAAACUAUUUUAGUAAAAUUUAAUUCUCUCAAUUCCCGGGCGAUUGCACCAAAAAUUCGAGUUCCUUUUGGAUUUCCUUCUUGAUCAAUAACAACUGCAGCAUUGUCAUCGUAUCGUAUUAUCAUCCCGUUGUCACGUUUGAGUUCUUUACAGGUACGCACAAUUACAGCUCUGACUACUUCUGAUCUUUCUAGGGGCAUAUUUGGUACUGCUUCUUUGAUCACAGCAACAAUAACGUCACCAAUAUGAGCAUAUCGACGAUUGCUAGCUCCUAUGAUUCGAAUACACAUCAAUUCUCGAGCCCCGCUAUUAUCCGCUACAUUUAAAUGGGUCUGAGGUUGAAUCAUUUUUUUAAUCCGUUCUUUGAAUGCAAAGGGCGAAGAAAAAAAAAGAAAUAUUUUUGUCCAAAAAAAAGAAACAUGCGGUUUUCUUUCAUAUCUAAGAGCCCUUUCUACAUUUUUUUCUAUUACAUUACGAAAUAAUGAAUUGAGUUCGUAUAGGCAUUUUGGAUGCUGCUAGUGAAAUAGCCCUUCUGGCUAUAUUUUCUGUUACUCCACCCAUUUCAUAAAGUAUUCGCCCCGGUUUAACAACAGCUACCCAAUAUUCAGGGGAUCCUUUUCCUGAACCCAUACGGGUUUCUGCCGGUCUUAAUGUAACAGGUUUGUCUGGAAAUAUACGUACCCAUAUUUUUCCACCACGACGUGCAUUUCGUGUCAUUGCCCGUCGGCCUGCUUCUAUUUGUCGAGAUGUAAUCCAAGCAGGUUCAAGUGCCUGAAGAGCAUAUUUACCGAAAGAAAUACGAUUACCUCGAUAAGAUAUUCCCUUCAUUCUGCCUCUAUGUUGUUUACGGAAUCUGGUUCUUUUGGGGUUAUAGUUGAUGGUUGGUUCUGAAUUCCAUCUCUACUACAGAACCGGACGUGAGAGUUUCUUCUCAUCCAGCUCCUCGCAAAUAAAAGGAUUCAAAAAAAUUCAAUUUGAAUUAAGCUAGAAUAGUAAAUCUUAAGUUAAGAUAUAUAAGAUAUGUAUUUACUGAGUAAUACCUUGAACGUGGGCUUCUUUGAGAUUUCAUUAAAUCUAUUAGUAAUUUGUAUAUCUUGUUUGAAUAGAUAACUAAACUUUGUAGUUUUCUAAAGAGAAAUAAAAAAAAUUGUAUUAUUAUACCAAAUCCUUAUUUUGUCCUUUAUUGUAUUGUCCUAAAUUUUGCAAUAAAAAAGUUUUCGCGGGCGAAUAUUUACUCUUUCAAUCCCUAUUUCAUUUGUAGGGUUAACUCGUGACUUCUCAGAUCUCAGAAUACAUGAAUUAAUCUAUGGUUCGUUCCGCCAUCCCGACCAGUGAAUCAUUAAGAUUCCUUUUUCAAUAGAAUCUUUUGCAUUCACAAGUUCCGUCGUUCCCAUCACUUCUUACUUAAUGGUUAGGUCCGAAUUCUACAAUGGAGCUCAGAAUCAAAUUGGUUCUUGAGUCAAUCUUCUUAGUCUUUAUUGGCUCGAAGCUCUUGAUUUUUUGUUCUAUUUCUAUAAGAAGAUUCUUUUUAGUAUGGUAUGAAUGCGUAUUGAUGCUUUAUUACACUGUCUUUUAUGAGAUUACUCAUAGACCUUACAUAUUGGAAUUUUAUAUCAUUGGUAUUCUUUUUCUCUCUUUCUCUCAUCCUUCCCUUUAUCCACAUCUUUUUUGUCUAUUUUGCUUUACAACUUAGAAGCAGAUUUUUUGUUUAUGCAAAAGAUUUCAGUUGCUACAAAGAUAUGACCUAUAUAUCAUAUCUUGACUGGUUCUUUAGAUCCAGAUAAUGCGAAGUGAUGGGUUGGUUAUUAGUUCUAUAGUUUUUAGUUCAUACUAUGUGGGCUGGGUUUUUUUAAUCCUAACCCUAACAAAACCCACGAGUCACACACUAAGCAUAGCAAUUAUAUCAAAUGGUCAAUCGAAUUUUUAUUCAACC
rnacentral:lncRNA from 1 species